AUUGAACGCUGGCGGCAUGCCUUACACAUGCAAGUCGAACGGCAGCGCGGGAGCAAUCCUGGCGGCGAGUGGCGAACGGGUGAGUAAUAUAUCGGAACGUGCCCAGUAGUGGGGGAUAGCCCGGCGAAAGCCGGAUUAAUACCGCAUGAGACCUGAGGGUGAAAGCGGGGGAUCGCAAGACCUCGCGCUAUUGGAGCGGCCGAUAUCAGAUUAGCUAGUUGGUGGGGUAAAGGCCUACCAAGGCAACGAUCUGUAGUUGGUCUGAGAGGACGACCAGCCACACUGGGACUGAGACACGGCCCAGACUCCUACGGGAGGCAGCAGUGGGGAAUAUUGGACAAUGGGGGAAACCCUGAUCCAGCAAUGCCGCGUGUGUGAAGAAGGCCUGCGGGUUGUAAAGCACUUUUGGCAGGGAAGAAAAGCACUGGCCGAAUACGCCAGUGUGUUGACGUAACCUGCAGAAGAAGCACCGGCUAACUCUGUG
rnacentral:rRNA from 1 species